GACGAACGCUGGCGGCGUGCUUAACACAUGCAAGUCGAACGGAAAGGCCCUGCUUUUGUGGGGUGCUCGAGUGGCGAACGGGUGAGUAACACGUGAGUAACCUGCCCUUGACUUUGGGAUAACUUCAGGAAACUGGGGCUAAUACCGGAUAGGAGCUCCUGCUGCAUGGUGGGGGUUGGAAAGUUUCGGCGGUUGGGGAUGGACUCGCGGCUUAUCAGCUUGUUGGUGGGGUAGUGGCUUACCAAGGCUUUGACGGGUAGCCGGCCUGGGAGGGUGACCGGCGACAUGGGGACUGAGAUACGGACCAGACUCCUACGGGAGGCAGCAGGGGGGAAUAUUGCACAGUGGGCGGAAGCCUGAUACAGCAACGCCGCGUGCGGGAUGACGGCCUUCGGGUUGUAAACCGCUUUCGCAUGUGACGAAGCGUGAGUGACGGUAAUGGGUAAAGAAGCACCGGCUAACUACGUG
rnacentral:rRNA from 1 species